rnacentral:lncRNA from 1 species
AAAUCAUAACUUACUGGGUGGGAGAGAUCAACUGUGACAGCCCACGAGAACGUCCAACUCCCUGUCAGCAUUUAAUGGAGCAUUUUCUUCAUUAUUUACUGCAAAUAUUCAACAAACAUUUAGAUUUAAAAACAAAAUAAUCAAAUAAAUAAAAUUUUAAGAAAAAUUGAUAUGUGCAUUUGAGGAAAAUAAUUCACAUCAAAAAUUUUGUGCCAUGAUGUAUGGCACCAUAAGAAUUAAGAAUUGAAAAAAAAUCCAAAAUUAUACCUCAUAAAAAAUGAUCCAAUAUUAUAAAAUUAUAAUUUGAUUUAUAUGACUCAAAAUCUUAAUUCAUAUAUUAUUCUUAUAUAUGGUAUAUAGGCUUUCCAUCAAUUUACAAUUUCAACCUAAAACACUUUUGACGAUAAUAAGCACAAUAUGUUAAGAAAUUUAUAAGAUAUUCAUAACAAUAUUAGCAAAUUAGGGAAAAAAUCAAUGAAUCGGCAAGAAUAACAAAUAAUACAAUAUUCAUAAUUGAACCAUACUAUGUUUAUUCAUAAUUCCAGUGACAUUGUGAUCGAACGAUGACGCAUGAUACGUAGAUGAAUUUAAUGUUUGAAAGAUUAUAUCAAAAUUUUGUUUAUAAUAUUUGGAAAAAUCAGAAAACAAGUUUACAGAGACAAGAGGAAG